GUGGCCCCCCGCAGCUGCUCUGUUGGGCGGGGGCUGGCCGCACGCACCAUGUGCGAGGUAAGCGCGGGGGAGGGCCCCGCACAUAGGUUGUCCCAUUGGGAGACACUCAGCAGCUCUGAACUCAGGCCCGUCCCCCGCGGAUCUCCCGGAUGUAGCCCCUAUUCCCUUCCGGUCGGGUCAGCCUUGUGCUUCCGGGUAACGGGGACGCUGGCCGCUGAGGUGGGGAAUCUGGGCCCUGUAGAUAUGGAUAACAGACAUGAUGAGAAAUGUGGAACACCAUGCGCUACAUCACACGAAGAGAUGAAAGUCAGAGGGAAAGACAAGAGAAAGCGAAAACGCAGCCGAAGCAGAUCAUCAUCCAUUUCAUCAACAUCAUCUGCUAGUACUACUACUACAUCCUCCUCGUGCUCUUCAUCAAGAUCUUCCUCUUCUUCAAGCAGCAGAAGCAGUUCAAGUGGCAGAGAUUCUCCCAAGUCUAAAUCAAAGAAAAGGAAAAAAGAAAAACGCAACAAAAAGGUAAAUAUUUGCUGA
rnacentral:lncRNA from 1 species